CUUUAGGGCACUUGACUUUCUGGAUAAAAGGUGUGGAGUUCGUCAAGUACUAAACUUUACACCCCAGCAGAAAAUGUACCCUGGCAGCAAAUGGGUGAAAAGGCUGGAGGAGAAAGUCAUCGCUCUGUUAUUGGCCCUUGGAC